GCUUGAGUAGAGUAGUAGUUAACUCGUCGCCCUCCCAAGGCGGAAACUCGGGUGCAAAUCCCGGCUCUAGCA